rnacentral:tRNA from 1 species
AAUAUUUUAUAUUAAGCUGCUAACUUAAUCCUAGUGGUUAAUCCCAUUAAUAUUC